CCCUCCUGUAGGUUUUAACUCCAACCCUGUUCCUGGAGAGAAACCCUCCUGUAGGUUUACACUCCAACCCUGUUCCUGGAGAGAUACCCUCCUGUAGGUUUACACUCCAACCCUGUUCCUGGAGAGAAACCCUCCUGUAGGUUUACACUCCAACCCUGUUCCUGGAGAGAUACCCUCCUGUAGGUUUUAACUCCAACCCUGUUCCUGGAGAGAUGCCCUCCUGUAGGUUUAUACUCCAACCCUGUUCCUGGAGAGAUACCCUCCUGUAGGUUUUAACUCCAACCCUGUUCCUGGAGAGAUACCCUCCUGUAGGUUUUAACUCCAACCCUGUUCCUGGAGAGAAACCCUCCUGUAGGUUUUAACUCCAACCCUGUUCCUGGAGAGAUACCCUCCUGUAGGUUUUAACUCCAACCCUGUUCCUGGAGAGAUACCCUCCUGUAG
rnacentral:lncRNA from 1 species